rnacentral:rRNA from 1 species
GAUGAACGCUGGCGGCGUGCCUAAUACAUGCAAGUCGAGCGAACAGACGAGGAGCUUGCUCCUCUGACGUUAGCGGCGGACGGGUGAGUAACACGUGGAUAACCUACCUAUAAGACUGGGAUAACUUCGGGACACCGGAGCUAAUACCGGAUAAUAUAUUGAACCGCAUGGUUCAAUAGUGAAAGACGGUUUUGCUGUCACUUAUAGAUGGAUCCGCGCCGCAUUAGCUAGUUGGUAAGGUAACGGCUUACCAAGGCAACGAUGCGUAGCCGACCGGAGAGGCGGAUCGGCCACACUGGAGCGGAGACACGCUCCAGACGCCUGCGGUAGGCAGCAGUAGGGAAUCUGCCGCAAUGGGCGAAAGCCUGACGGAGCAACGCCGCGUGAGUGAUGAAGGUCUUCGGAGCGUAAAACUCGGUUAUUAGGGAAGAACAAAUGUGUAAGUAACUAUGCACGUCUUGACGGUACCUAAUCAGAAAGCCACGGCUAACUACGUG